GUCUGUCUCUGUCUCUGUCUGCUGUUUGAGUGAUCGCGAAGCAAGAAAAAGUGAGAAAUUCAUCCUAGAGAGCAAUCAUGACAGACUAUGUGCAGGAGCAAGAGAUGGAAAUCGAAGCAUUGGAAGCAAUUCUUAUGGAUGAAUUCAAAGAAAUUCACUCCAGUGAAAGUGGGCUAAACACUUCAAAUCGAUGCUUCCAAAUUACUAUUUCUCCUCAGGAGGAGGACGAAGAAUUUACACAAUCAUCAGUUCGACUGGCUUUAAUAUUCUCUCACACAGAAAAAUAUCCGGAUGAACCUCCACUUUUGAAUGUCUCAAGUUUAAAAGGAAUUCAUUCUGGAGAUCUGAAAACAUUGAAAGAGAAGCUUGAACAAGAGGCUGUUGAGAAUCUUGGCAUGGCUAUGAUCUACACAUUGGUCUCAUCAGCUAAAGAC
rnacentral:misc_RNA from 1 species